GAGACAUAAGAGCUGCUUUCUCUCUGCUGUCUCUGCCCUGUGAUGAUGCAAUGAGAAGCAGAAACAGAGCUGAAAUAUUGCCCUCUUUGAGAGACGGGGACAUGGAGGCGCAGACGGUCUGCAUUUGCUUCCUGGCUCCUGUGCAUGCUAGAGACACAGCCGCAGUUGAAGAAAUCAUGACCAGGAAGAGGACAGCGCUGUGAUGGGCUCCUCUGAAGGCCUGGAGCCAGCCCCGGCGAGGCUGCCUGACCCCCCCGCCUUCCCCAUCCCUCCUGCUCACACUGCUCUGCUCCUCUGCUACAAACCACGUCUUCUUCCUCUCCCUGGAGCCAGCCCAGCUUCCCUCCUUCAGCAGGCUUUCCUCAAGUGACUUUACCCUGAGCGACUCCAUGUUUCUUCCUGUAUUUGUGUGUCUUGACCCAGUGCCAUUUCAUUCAAUUAAAAAAAAACACCAAUUGAGUCCCUGCCCAGGGUGCCGUAGGGGUGCAGGAUAGAGGGGUGGGCAGGUGUGAUUCUCCGCCUCGAGUGGCUUGUCCCCAUGAGGAUUUUCAGGCAAGAGUGCAACCAUGCAAAUGAAAGCGAUGUGCAUGUGAUGAGAGAAAUGCCAGAUGGAGCCCAGAAGAGGGAAACAUCACAUCCAGUUGGGAGAUGGAGAGAGGCUAAAUGAGGAGGAGGUGCUGGCCGGGCUGUUCAGCUGUGUCUUCUUUUGUUCCCAUUUCCCUUUCCUCCACUGAUCUCUCAAAGAUGCUCUGCCGCAUCAGAUUCUCUGUUAGGCACCGGGGGAUCCAAAUGCACUCAUUUUAGCUAAUUAACUCAGACAUGCAAGAAAUAAUGCAUUUCUUUAUUUUCUCUAAGAUACCUUAAUUUAGACUCUAAGCCCCAUUUCUGCUGGGUUGGUGGGAAAUGCAUCCUUGUCACCUUGGAGCCUCCUGACCCCAAGUAGUCAAAAAUGCUCCAGGUCACAGGUGAAGCGAAGGCACCAGGGGGGCUGUGCCCAGUGGCAGCCAUCAGUUUCCUUCUGUGCUGCUGAGGCUCCCUGCCCUGCCGGGCCCCUUGGAGUCAGGCUCAGGAAUCCAGUACCUGGGUGUCCGCUGGGGACCCACCAGGGAGCAGGAUGUGGUCUCCACCACUAGCAACACCUCCCGUUUCCCUCUUUGGCACAGGGGAAUCUCUUUUUAGUUCGGAAGUCUCUCUCUCUCACUCUACCCCCCCAAGCAUUUGUCCUCUCCCUCAAGGACACCUAGAAUCUCCACACAGAGGAAAACAAAAGCCAGGAAGAAAAGUGUAUUAGUUAGUGUAGUGGGCUGAAUUGUGUCCCCUCGAAAUGUACAUGUUGCGGUCCUAACCCCUAGCAUCUCAGAAUGUGCCGGUAUUUGGAGAUAAGGGCUUUAAAGUGGUAAUUAAGUUGAAAUGAAGUCUUCAGGGUGGAACCUAAUCCAAUAGGGCUGGUGUCCUCAUAAGAAGAGAUUUGGACGCAGACGUGUGCAAAGGGAAGACCGUGUGAGAACACCAGAAGACGACUGCCGUUGACAAGCCGAGGAGAGAGCCUUAGAAGAAACCGACCCUGCUGACACCUUGAUCUGGAACUUCCGGCCUCCAGAACUGUGAGGAAAUAAACUUCUGUUGUUUAAACCCCUCAGUCUGCCGCAUUAUGUUGUGGCAGCUGAGCAGACUAAUCCAGCUGGGAUCUGUGUUUGGCUGCUGUACCAAAGGAACCCAAAAUACAAUGGCUUAAACAAGAUGGAAAUUAAUUUUUAUCUCAUGAACCAGUCUGAAGGUGGGCAUUGCGGAUGACGUGGGGCUGGGGACUCACACUUCUAUCUUUGUGCUCUGUCACCCCCUGGGAUGUUUUCUUGUCUUUGUGAUCCCAGAGAGCUCCCCAUUAUGUCCCUGCACCCACAUCUGGCCAGCAGAAAAGGAAAAGGAGAAGGGAAGGGAGUGCCCCUUCCUUUUAAGGGCAAGAACUGGAAGGAGCGGACAUUGCUUCUGCUCGUAUGUUAAUGGACCUAAUUUGGUGAUAUGGC
rnacentral:lncRNA from 1 species